rnacentral:rRNA from 1 species
AUACGUAGGGGGCAAGCGUUAUCCGGAUUUACUGGGUGUAAAGGGAGCGUAGACGGAAGGCCAAGUCUGAUGUGAAAGCCCGCGGCUCAACUGCGGGACUGCAUUGGAAACUGGUCAUCUGGAGUGCAGGAGGGGUAAGCGGAAUUCCUAGUGUAGCGGUGAAAUGCGUAGAUAUUAGGAGGAACACCGGUGGCGAAGGCGAAUUUCUGGUCUUCAACUGGCGUUGAGGCUCACAAGCGUGGGCAGAAACUGGAAAGAGAUAACCUGAUGGCCCACGCCGUAACCGAUGAAUACGAGGUGUCGUGUUUCUAUAGAGAUUCGGUGCCGCAGGAAACGCAAUAAGUAUUCCGCCUGGGGAGUACGGUCGCAAGAAUGAUACUCAAAGGAAUUGGCGGGG